CAAAGAAAAUCAUAAAAAGAAUGAACUACUAUAAUUAAUUUUCUUGGCCGUCUAGAUCUAUGUUCCUCUUCGUUUUAUGCACGUCACUAACGUUCUAAGAACAACUUUACAGCAACUGAAGCAAAGAUUUGACAACAAUCACAACUUGAUUCAGAAAUUUAAAAUAUGAUCUGUCGGUGAUGGUGGCGGCGCUGGUGUUAACGGUGGCAGUUGUGACAGUCGAAGUGGUGAUGGUGGUGAUUGGUUAGGGGAGAGAUUGCUCAUGAUUUCAUUUAGUAUGGCGUGUUUGUUGGUGGUUACGGCGGUGUGAUAGUGUUGGUGGCGAAGGAAUAACGGAGAGUUAAUUUGGUUGAUUGAUAGUGUCGGAAGCAAAAUUGAAUUGAGCAAAGAAAACUGAAGUAUUUUUCUCAGAUCUAAUAAUAUUUAAUUUCUUACUAACGUAUCCUUCAAUAUUUGUGGUAUUACGAUGACCCAGGUAGAAAACUCAAAAACACGGAGGGGCAAUCACAUCAUUUGGUUUAGUUCAUUAGUUUGUAUUGCCCCUACAUUUGUAAACAUUCACAUAAGUUUAAGAGAGGAGAAACAUCAUGGAGGGACAGUGUUUCCUUUUUAAAUGGGACACCAAAGUUUUAGUAGACACCAAACAAACCAUUUUCGCUUAUAUUAUAGACUAGGGUUUAACCCAUGCCAUAAUGGCACGGGCCGGUGUUAUAUAAAUUAUGGAAUAAAAGUAGUUUUUAGUUGAA